UACGGAGGGUGCAAGCAUUAAUCGGAUUUAUUGGGCGUAAAGGGCGCGUAGGCGGAUCGGAAAGUCAGAUGUGAAAUCCUGGGGCUCAACCCCAGAACAGCAUUUGAAACUUCCGAUCUAGAGGGUAGGCGGAGAAAAUAGAAUUCCACAAGUAGCGGUGAAAUGCGUAGAUAUGUGGAAGAAUACCGGUGGCGAAGGCGGUUUUCUAGCUUACUCCUGACGCUGAGGCGCGAAAGUAAGGGGAUCAAACAGG
rnacentral:rRNA from 1 species